rnacentral:rRNA from 1 species
AGGACAGGUGGUGCAUGGUUGUCGUCAGCUCGUGUCGUGAGAUGUUGGGUUAAGUCCCGCAACGAGCGCAACCCCUAUUGCUAGUUACCAUCAUUAAGUUGGGGACUCUAGCGAGACUGCCAGUGAUAAACUGGAGGAAGGUGGGGGAUGACGUCAAAUCAUCAUGCCCCUUAUGACCUGGGCUACAAACGUGAUACAAUGGCUGGAACAAAGGGAUGCGAAGCAGUGAUGUGGAGCGAAACCCAUAAAAACAGUCUCAGUUCGGAUUGAAGUCUGCAACUCGACUUCAUGAAGUCGGAAUCGCUAGUAAUCGCGGAUCAGAACGCCGCGGUGAAUACGUUCUCGGGGUUU